AACCUUAUGGACCUGCGGGCGUAUACCUGCGGAGGGAUCAUUAAAAAGAGUGUGUACCCCCCUGUAAAAUGGGUGGGUUACCUCCCGUCCUUUGUUGACCUCUUAGGAGGUUAUUUUGAACUUUUCUGCUUCGGUGGGGUUAAACCUACCGGAACACCCUCAAAUUCUGAUCAUUUAAAAAUUGUUCAGUCCGAUUUUUGUUAAUAAAAACAAAAAACUUUCAACAAUGGAUCUCAGAUC
rnacentral:misc_RNA from 1 species